AUGAACGCUGGCGGCGUGCCUAAUACAUGCAAGUCGAGCGAGCAGACGAGGAGCUUGCUCCUCUGACGUUAGCGGCGGACGGGUGAGUAACACGUGGAUAACCUACCUAUAGGACUGGGAUAACUUCGGGAAACCGGAGCUAAUACCGGAUAAUAUAUUGAACCGCAUGGUUCAAUAGUGAAAGACGGUUUUGCUGUCACUUAUAGAUGGAUCCGCGCCGCAUUAGCUAGUUGGUAAGGUAACGGCUUACCAAGGCAACGAUGCGUAGCCGACCUGAGAGGGUGAUCGGCCACACUGGAACUGAGACACGGUCCAGACUCCUACGGGAGGCAGCAGUAGGGAAUCUUCCGCAAAGGGCGAAAGCCUGACGGAGCAACGUCGCGUGAGUGAUGAAGGUCUUCGGAUCGUAAAACUCUGUUAUUAGGGAAGAACAAAUGUGUAAGUAACUAUGCACGUCUUGACGGUACCUAAUCAGAAAGCCACGGCUAACUACGUG
rnacentral:rRNA from 1 species